UACGUGNCAGCAGCCGCGGUAAUACGUAGGUCCCGAGCGUUGUNCGGAUUUAUUGGGCGUAAAGGGAGCGCAGGCGGUUUAGUAAGUCUGAAGUUAAAGGCAUUGGCUCAACCAAUGUAUGCUUUGGAAACUGUUAGACUUGAGUGCAGAAGGGGAGAGUGGAAUUCCAUGUGUAGCGGUGAAAUGCGUAGAUAUAUGGAGGAACACCGGCGGCGAAAGCGGCUCUCUGGUCUGUCACUGACGCUGAGGCUCGAAAGCGUGGGUAGCGAACAGGAUUAGAUACCCUGGUAGUCCACGCCGUAAACGCUGAGUGCUAGGUGUUAGGUCCUUUCCGGGACUUAGUGCCGACGCUAACGCAUUAAGCACUCCGCCUGGGGAGUACGACCGCAAGGUUGAAACUCAAAGGAAUUGACGGGGGCCCGCACAAGCGGUGGAGCAUGUGGUUUAAUUCGAAGCAACGCGAAGAACCUUACCAGGUCUUGACAUCCCGAUGCCCGCUCUAGAGAUAGAGUUUUACUUUUUGUACAUCGGAGACAGGUGGUGCAUGGUUGUCGUCAGCUCGUGCCGUGAGAUGUUGGGUUAAGUCCCGCAACGAGCGCAACCCUUAUUGUUAGUUGCCAUCAUUAAGUUGGGCACUCUAGCGAGACUGCCGGUAAUAAACCGGAGGAAGGUGGGGAUGACGUCAAAUCAUCAUGCCCCUUAUGACCUGGGCUACACACGUGCUACAAUGGUUGGUACAACGAGUCGCAAGCCGGUGACGGCAAGCUAAUCUCUGAAAGCCAAUCUCAGUUCGGAUUGUAGGCUGCAACUCGCCUACAUGAAGUCGGAAUCGCUAGUAAUCGCGGAUCAGCACGCCGCGGUGAAUACGUUCCCGGGCCUUGUACACACCGCCCGUCACACCACGAGAGUUUGUAACACCCAAAGUCGGUGAGGUAACCAUUUAUGGGGCCAGCCGCCUAAGGUGGGAUGGAUGAUUGGGG
rnacentral:rRNA from 1 species